rnacentral:rRNA from 1 species
GCUACACUGCAGUCGACGGAUAGCACAGAGAGCUUGCUCUCGGGUGACUAGUGGCGGACGGGUGAGUAAUGUCUGGGAAACUGCCUGAUGGAGGGGGAUAACUACUGGAAACGGUAGCUAAUACCGCAAAACGUCGCAGGACCGAAGAGGGGGACCUUCGGGCCUCUUGCCAUCAGAUGUGCCCAGAUGGGAUUAGCUAGUAGGUGGGGUAACGGCUCACCUAGGCUACGAUCCGUAACUAGUCUGAGACGAUGACCAGCCACACAUGGAACUGACACACGGUCCAGACUCCUACGGGAGGCAUCAGUGGGGAAUAUUGCACAAUGGGCGCAAGCGUGAUGCAGCCAUGCCGAGUGUAUCAAGAAGGCCUUCGGGUUGUAAAGUACUUUCAGCGGGCGAGGAAGGUGUUGUGGUUAAUGACCGCAUGAAUUGACGUUACCCGCAAAAGAACCACCGGCUAACUCCGUGCCAACUACCGCGGUAAUACGGAGGGUGCACGCGUUUGUCGGAAUUACUGGGCGAUAAAGCGGCGCUAGCGGUCUGCAAGUCGGAUGUGAAUCCCCGGGCUAACCUGGGACUGCAUUCGAACUGGUUGCUAGAGCUUGUUAGGGGGGUAAAAUCAAGUGAAUUCUUGUAUCCUGAGAUUGGAGGAUACCGGAGGAAACGAGGGCCCUGGAGAAGACUGAUCUCAAGUGAAAAGCGUGGGGACAAAUGGAGUACAACCCAGUAGUACACUGGUAUCCAUUCGACUCGAUGUUGGCCUUGAGGAGGGUUCCGCAUCUACGCUUAAGUCACC